GUUUGGAUUAUCAAUUUGAAAGGAUAUCCCAUCAGAUCUGAGAAGCUAAGCAGAAUCUAGUCCCAGUUAGUACUCAGGAGACCUUUGUUGAAAGCAGAAUAUUGCAGGCG
rnacentral:rRNA from 1 species